rnacentral:rRNA from 1 species
UACAGAGGGUGCAAGCGUUGUUCGGAUUUACUGGGCGUAAAGCGUACGCAGCCGGUUUGGUAGGUCGGAUGUGAAAGCCCCGGGCUCAACCCGGGAAUUGCAUCCGAAACCACCUCACUCGAGUGUGGGAGAGGGAAGCGGAAUUCCUGGUGUAGAGGUGAAAUUCGUAGAUAUCAGGAGGAACACCGGCGGCGAAGGCGGCUUCCUGGCCCAUUACUGACGUUCAGGUACGAAAGCGUGGGGAGCAAACAGG